rnacentral:rRNA from 1 species
CAUGCAAGUCGAACGAAGCGCUUAAACGGAUUUCUUCGGAUUGAAGUUUUUGCGACUGAGUGGCGGACGGGUGAGUAACGCGUGGGUAACCUGCCUCAUACAGGGGGAUAACAGUUAGAAAUGACUGCUAAUACCGCAUAAGCGCACAGUGCUGCAUGGCACAGUGUGAAAAACUCCGGUGGUAUGAGAUGGACCCGCGUCUGAUUAGCUAGUUGGUGGGGUGACGGCCCACCAAGGCGACGAUCAGUAGCCGGCCUGAGAGGGUGAACGGCCACAUUGGGACUGAGACACGGCCCAAACUCCUACGGGAGGCAGCAGUGGGGAAUAUUGCACAAUGGGGGAAACCCUGAUGCAGCGACGCCGCGUGAGCGAAGAAGUAUUUCGGUAUGUAAAGCUCUAUCAGCAGGGAAGAAAAUGACGGUACCUGACUAAGAAGCACCGGCUAAAUACGUGCCAGCAGCCGCGGUAAUACGUAUGGUGCAAGCGUUAUCCGGAUUUACUGGGUGUAAAGGGAGCGUAGACGGUUGUGUAAGUCUGAUGUGAAAGCCCGGGGCUCAACCCCGGGACUGCAUUGGAAACUAUGUAACUAGAGUGUCGGAGAGGUAAGCGGAAUUCCUAGUGUAGCGGUGAAAUGCGUAGAUAUUAGGAGGAACACCAGUGGCGAAGGCGGCUUACUGGACGAUCACUGACGUUGAGGCUCGAAAGCGUGGGGAGCAAACAGGAUUAGAUACCCUGGUAGUCCACGCCGU